UUUAUUUAGUUUUUGUGUAGAAUAUACAUGAUUGUUAUGUUCUUAUUGUUAUUGCAUAUAGUUAUCACAUGAUAAGGACUUAUUUGACUCACAACAAUAAUAGUCAAAGACUUAUUUGGUCCAUAUUAAAUAGUGCCACAUACUUAUUUGGCUCAUUUUUUGUUUUGUUCUUUACUUGCAUGGUUGUUUUUUUAUGUCUUGUACUUGCUAAAAG
rnacentral:lncRNA from 1 species